rnacentral:rRNA from 1 species
GGUCAAGCUACAAAGGGCGCAUGGUGAAUGCCUUGGCAUCAGGAGCCGAUGAAGGACGUGAUAAGCUGCGAUAAGCUUCGGGUAGGCGCACAUAGCCAGUGAUCCGGAGAUUUCCGAAUGAGGGAACUCACAUGGGAAACCCCAUGUAUCCUGUAAUGAAUAAAUAGUUACAGGAAGGUAAACCUAGGGAACUGAAACAUCUAAGUACCUAGAGGAAGAGAAAGAAAAAUCGAUUUUCUGAGUAGCGGCGAGCGAAAGGGAAAGAGCCCAAACCAGAGAUUUAUCUCUGGGGUUGCGGACAGAACAUUAAAUAAACUAAUUUGUAACCGAAAAUAACUGGAAAGUUAGGCCAUAGAGUGUAAUAGCCACGUAGGUAAAACAGAAAGGUUUAGAGUUCUGAUCCAGAGUACCACGAGACACGUGAAACCUUGUGGGAAGCAGGGAGGACCACCUCCCAAGGCUAAAUACUACCUGAUGAC